AGCGCCCCCUGCCGGGCGGGCGCGAUCACAAUGCGGGCAUUAUGGCGGCCUGCUCCCCUGUCCUGGCAGGUGCAUGGAGCGGAGCCUGCAGCGCGCAGACAGGACCUUAAAGCUCUGAGGUGCAGGGAUCAGCUUCUCUUAUGAUCCCCAUACUGAGCCUGAGACCUGCCCUGCCCUUGGUGCAGCAGCGGGAAGCUCCUAGCAACGCCACCACUGUCCCUGCUGGGUUCUUGCAGCUUUGAGGUUCACAGCUGACGAUGAAGAGUUUCCAUGAACCUGACCGUUCUGUCCAAUCAAGCACAACUCUGUUCUUCUGGAAUUUAACAGCUCCUUAGAAUUUUAGUAGCCCUUUGCAGUGCAGAUCAUUUCAGGGCUUGGUGUUGCAUUUACUGGGGAUGAUAAUGCCCCUACAGGAAGAACUGCGCAGAGCCAGCAGAGUGUUUACUUCCUCUUCUUCCAGAAUUGCAUCACAGAGAAAUACAGUUCCUGACAGUUA